rnacentral:other from 1 species
AACACCCUGCUUAGUGCGUGAAUAACGGAUUAUAUUUUAACCAACACAUCUAAAAAGGAAUUCUGACUCUUCUUGCGGCUGUAAACCACGCCCGCGCGGAAAAAGGCAACUUUUUACCGCGUGCGCCAAGCGAGGGAACAAUAAACAAGAAGGCAGUUGUCCACCUGUUUAAUUACAGGUUAGAAAUGUAUCCUGCGGUCUUUUGACCACUUUACGGCUCGGUGGGGUAAUU